GACGAACGCUGGCGGCGUGCUUAACACAUGCAAGUCGAACGAAGAGCGAUGGAAGCUUGCUUCUAUCAAUCUUAGUGGCGAACGGGUGAGUAACGCGUAAUCAACCUGCCCUUCAGAGGGGGACAACAGUUGGAAACGACUGCUAAUACCGCAUACGAUCUAAUCUCGGCAUCGAGGAUAGAUGAAAGGUGGCCUCUAUGUAUAAGCUAUCACUGAAGGAGGGGAGUGCGGCUGAUUAGCUAGUUGGAGGGGUAACGGCCCACCAAGGCGAUGAUCAGUAGCCGGUCUGAGAGGAUGAACGGCCACAUUGGGACUGAGACACGGCCCAGACUCCUACGGGAGGCAGCAGUGGGGAAUCUUCCGCAAUGGACGAAAGUCUGACGGAGCAACGCCGCGUGAGUGAUGACGGCCUUCGGGUUGUAAAGCUCUGUUAAUCGGGACGAAAGGCCUUCUUGCGAAUAGUGAGAAGGAUUGACGGUACCGGAAUAGAAAGCCACGGCUAACUACGUG
rnacentral:rRNA from 1 species